UUGUGUUAGGGAUUGAAGCGGAUAGCCCGCAGUCCCGAUUUUUUUAUCGGGACGAGGACUUGUAGCGGAAAGCCCGACCUCGU
rnacentral:misc_RNA from 1 species